ACAGUACAUGUUUAUUGGAUGA
rnacentral:miRNA from 13 species